GUGCUUCACACAUAGAUAGAAUGCUUAUUAUUAGGUGGUGGUUCAGUUGGUUUAAAGGUGAAUGGUGUAUAAGAAGCUCACUUGUUGGUUGGUACUGUUAGAGUUAUAAUAUAAGUCAUGUACCCCUUUGUAUUUAUCCCGUUGUAUGAGGGGUUUCCUGCAUAUGUUCCACACCUGUACAUGUAUAUAUAUAUCGGCCUAUGGUCUCAUGGGAAUAUAAGUUGCUUAUUCCUAACAUGGUAUUAGAGCUAGGUCAAUUUUUUGCACGCUGCAACUCGUGCAUUUGAUCCGUCUGUUCGAUCGAAGCAAUCGAUCUCUAACCCCGCUCGAUCUCCUCUCUGUCUGCUCGAUCGAAGCAGGGGGCUCGUCCCGCAGGCGCCCCCGAUCUCCUCUCCAGCCGGCCGCUCGCAGGGCUCCCGCUGCCGGCCCGUCCCGAUCGGAGUCGCCCAGCCGCCCGUCAGAUCGGCCCAGGGGGCUCGUCCCGCAGGCGCCCCCGAUCUCCUCUCCAGCCGGCUUCCGCUGCUCCAGUCGCCAGCGCCUCCCGCUGCCGGCCCGUCCCGAUCUGAUCGCCCCGAUCUUCCGCUCGACGCUGCUCCCGUCCCCAGCCAGCGCCUGAUCCCAAUCUGGUAGCUCUCGUCGGAUCUAAAAAUAAAUGUCUGCUGCAUCGGGCUAUGUUGCUGUCCCUCGCUGUCCGGUGAUCUUUGAUGGUACUAACUACACCGAGUUCACUGGCUUCAUGCGCAUUCACAUGCGUGGCAUCCGUCUUUGGGGUGUUCUUUCUGGCCAGGUCUGCUGUCCACCACGUCCAGUUCCUUCGGUGGCCCCUACUCCGCCAACUCCGUCGGUUCUUCCUACGGAUGCUAAUCAGGCCGCCAAGGAUGCGGCUAAGGUUGCUGAUGAGGCUGCUGAUCGUGCUUAUGAUGAGAGGGUUUUGGCUUAUGAGGAGGCUCUUCAGACGUAUCAUGGUGCUCUGUCUGCUUACACCCAGUGGCUUGAUGAUGAUGCUCGUGCUGCAACUGUUCUCACUGCUAGUGUUCUGCCUCAGUUUGCUUCUGAAUUUCUGGGUCUUUCUACUGUCUUUGAGAUGUGGACCCGUCUUCGUGAGCGCUAUCAGCCCUCCGGUGAUGCCUUAUACCUCUCUGUGAUCCGUCAGGAGCAUGCUCUUCAGCAGGGUGACUCUACUAUUGAUGACUUCUAUGCACAGAGUUCUGCUAUCUGGCGCCAGCUUGAUUCUCUCCGUAGUGCUGGGUGUCGUACCUGCCCCUGUUGCCAGGCUGUCCAGGCCAAUUUGGAGUUUUAUCGCGUCUAUGAGUUCCUGUCUCGGCUCCGUAAGGAGUUUGAGCCCCGGCGUGCUCAGUUGUUUGCUCAUGGCCGUAUUUCUCUCAUGGAGGCGCUUUCUGAGAUUCGUGCUGAGGAGACUCACUUACGUGGUGCUGGUUUGAUGGAGGUUCCCUCUGUGCUUGCUACUCGUGCUCCUACGCCACCUGCUCCAUCGACCCCUUCUCGCUCGAGUGCUCCGCCGCUCUUGCCCACUCCUUCUGGAGGCUCAGGUCGCCCCCGUCCACAUUGCGCCUAUUGCAACAAUGAUGGUCAUCUUGAGUCUCAGUGCUACACGAAGAAGAAACACCUGCGCAAGGCUCGAUCAUCAUCUUCAGGGACUUCGUCAUCUACCUCGACAGCUUCAGCCAUUGCUUUGACUGAGCAGGAUAUUCUGAGACUUAAGCGUCUGCUCACGGCUUCAGGUUCUUCCUCGACAGGUACUGCCGGUUCUGUGACUGAUGCUUCCCGCACUGAGCAAUCACCCUCUACACAGUCAGGUACAUCCCCAUGGGUUCUGGACUCUGGAGCUUCUUUUCAUAUGUCUUCUCAUUCUUCCACUUUGUCCUCUCUUCGAUCACUGGAUUCUCCUAUUCAUGUCUUCACUGCUGAUGGUACUCCACUUUCUGUUGCUAGUAGAGGCAAUCUUACUACUCCUUCUUAUUCUGUUCCUGAUGUUGCUCAUGUUCCUCGACUUACCAUGAAUUUGUUUUCUGCUGGUCAACUUACGGAUUCUGGUUGUCGCGUCAUCCUCGACGUUGACUCUUGUUCUGUCCAGGACCGUCACACGCACACUCUGGUUGGGGCUGGCCCUCGCCGCCGUGAUUCUCAGGGUCUUUGGGAGUUGGACUGGCUUCAUGUUCCUUCUGCUGCCACCACCAUCGCCAGUUCUUCCGCUUCUGUCGCCUCCGUCACUGGUUCCUUCCAGCAGUGGCAUCAUUGACUUGGUCAUCUGUGUGGUUCUCGGUUGUCUUCUUUAGUUCGUCGAGGCCUUCUGGGGUCUGUCUCAGGAGAUGUCUCUUUAGAGUGUUAGGGUUGUCGUCUUGGCAAGCAGAUUCGGUUACCAUAUUCACAUAGUGAGUCAGUGUCUAAGCAUCCUUUCGAUUUAGUCCAUUCUGAUGUAUGGGGUCCGGCCCCUUUCGCUUCGAAAGGUGGUCAUAAAUACUAUAUUAUUUUCAUAGAUGAUUUCUCUCGUUACACAUGGCUUUAUUUCAUGACUUCUCGUUCUGAGGUGUUGUCUAUUUAUAAGCGUUUUGCUGCCAUGGUUCAUACUCAGUUCUCUUCACCCAUUCGUGUUUUUCGUGCUGACUCCGCUGGCGAGUAUAUCUCUAAGAUGUUGCGUGGUGUUCUUGCUGAGCACAGGACUCUCUCUCAAUUCUCUUGUCCUGGUGCUCAUGCUCAGAAUGGUGUGGCUGAGCGAAAGCAUCGACAUCUUCUUGAGACGGCUCGUGCAUUGAUGAUUGCUGCCUCUCUCCUGCCUCAUUUUUGGGUUGAGGCCGUCUCCACAUCCACCUAUCUUAUCAAUAUACAGCCUUCCGCUGCUCUACAGGGUGGUGUUCCUUUCGAGCGACUUUUUGAUCGUUCUCCCGAUUAUUCGAUGCUUCGCUCGUUUGGUUGUGUUUGCUAUGUUCUUCUUGCCCCUCGCGAACGCACCAAACUGACCGCUCAGUCUGUUGAGUGUGUCUUCUUAGGCUACAGUGAUGAGCAUAAGGGCUAUCGUUGUUGGGAUCCUAUUGGUCGUCGGAUGCGUAUCUCUCGAGAUGUGACUUUUGAAGAGUCUCGUCCCUUCUACCCACGCCCAUCUUCCUCGACUUUUUCAGUGCAGGAUAUCUCUUUUCUCACUUUUCCUGACUCACCUAUCACCCCCGCCGAGACUGUACCUCUCCGUUCCACUUCCUCUCCUUCUCCACAUCUAGUUGAUUUGCAGCCACCAUCCUCCCCGGUCUCCUCGCCUAGCAUGUCACCGGGUUCUCCACCUUCAUCUCCGGUGACUUCCUCCCCUGUCUCCUCUCCCAGCCUGUCACCGGAUUCUACACCUUCAUCUCCGGUGACUUCUUCAUCGCCACCCCCUGAUUCUACCCUGCCGAUUCCUCCUUCUAUUAUUCCAUCUUUUCCUCAGCAUUACACUCGUCGUCCACGACCAGUCGAUGCCUCUGUGGAUGGGUCGUCAUCUUCCUCUCAGCCUACUUAUGGCUUGCGUUCUCGUCCUCGUCCGCCUGUUGAUCGCUUUGGAUUUCCCACCGCUGGUGCUGCUAUUCUUGAGCCGACUUCUUACCGUCAGGCUGUUGUUCAUCCUGAAUGGCAGUUUGCGAUGGCAGAGGAGAUUGCUGCUCUUGAACGCACUGGUACCUGGGAUCUUGUUUCUCUUCCUCCCGGAGUCCGUCCGAUCACUUGUAAGUGGGUCUACAAGGUUAAGACUCGCUCCGAUGGUUCUCUUGAGCGUCACAAAGCUCGUCUUGUGGCUCGUGGUUUUCAGCAGGAGCAUGGUCGUGAUUAUGACGAGACUUUUGCUCCUGUGGCUCAUAUGACCACUGUUCGUACACUUCUUGCCGUUGCCUCUGCACGCCACUGGUCUAUAUCUCAGCUUGAUGUUAAGAAUGCCUUUCUUAAUGGUGAGCUGUGUGAGGAGGUGUACAUGCAGCCACCACCUGGGUAUUCUGUUCCUGAUGGCAUGGUAUGUCGUCUUCGUCGCUCUCUCUAUGGCCUUAAGCAAGCCCCCCGCGCCUGGUUUGAGCGCUUUGCCUCUGUGAUCACUGCUGCUGGUUUUUUAGCUAGUGCUCAUGAUCCAGCAUUGUUUAUUCACCUUUCUCCUCGUGGUCGGACUCUUCUUCUUCUUUAUGUUGAUGACAUGAUCAUCACGGGGGAUGACCCCGAGUAUAUUGCCUUUGUAAAGGCCCGUCUUAGUGAGAAGUUUCUUAUGUCUGAUCUUGGACCUCUUCGCUACUUUCUUGGGAUUGAAGUCUCUUCUACCUCUGAUGGCUUUUUUAUAUCCCAGGAAAAGUAUAUCCAGGAUCUUCUUGCUCGUGCUGCUCUUACUGACGAGCGCGUUGUUGAGACUCCUAUGGAGCUCAAUGUUCACCUCCGUGCUACUGAUGGUGAUCCUCUCCCUGACCCGACGCGUUAUCGUCAUCUUGUUGGCAGUCUUGUCUAUCUAGCUGUCACUCGUCCGUACAUCUCUUAUCCGGUUCAUAUUCUGAGUCAGUUUGUCUCUGCCCCCACCUCGGUUCACUAUAGUCAUCUCCUUCGUGUUCUUCGAUAUCUUCGAGGCACGAUCUCUCAUCGUCUAUUCUUUCCUCGCUCCAGUUCUUUACAGCUCCAGGCCUAUUCGGAUGCUACGUGGGCUAGUGAUCCUUCCGAUCGCCAUUCACUUUCUGCUUACUGUGUUUUUCUUGGUGGUUCUCUCAUUGCCUGGAAGACGAAGAAACAGCUUGCAGUUUCCCGUUCGAGUGCCGAGGCCGAGUUGCGAGCAAUGGCUCUUUUGACGGCAGAGGUGACUUGGUUACGGUGGUUACUUCAGGAUUUUGGUGUUUCUGUCACUACACCGACUCUGCUUUUAUCUGACAGUACAGGUGCUAUCAGCAUUGCACGCGAUCCUGUGAAGCAGGAGCUCACCAAGCAUAUUGGUGUUGAUGCUUUCUAUGUGCGCGCUGCUCUGCAGGAUCAGGUUAUUGCUCUUCAGUAUGUGCCUUCCGAGUUACAGUUGGCGGAUUUCCUGACGAAGGCUCAGAGUAGAGCACAACAUGGCUUUUAUCUCUCCAAACUCAGUGUUGUUCAUCCACCAUGAGUUUGAGGGGGGGUGUUAGAGUUAUAAUAUAAGUCAUGUACCCCUUUGUAUUUAUCCCGUUGUAUGAGGGGUUUCCUGCAUAUGUUCCACACCUGUACAUAUAUAUAUAUAUAUCGGCCUAUGGUCUCAUGGGAAUAUAAGUUGCUUAUUCCUAACAGGUACAUAGUAAUUUUAUUUCUUCCAGUAAGAGAUCUUUGACAACUGUCAAAUUCUGUUUGGUACUUGCACAUGUAAGAGGCAAUGGCAGCAAUGUUUCUUGUAUUAUAGUAUUUGCACUAUACCCAUCCUGUAUAAACUGU
rnacentral:lncRNA from 1 species